rnacentral:sRNA from 5 species
AUGUACCCACGUACAUUCCGGUUCCUCCGCGCCGUCCGCACCCACCUGACGACUGCUCGCUACGUUUUGUUAGCC